CCAGACUCCUACGGGAGGCAGCAGUGGGGAAUAUUGGGCAAUGGAGGCAACUCUUACCCAGCAAUGCCGCGUGAAUGAAGAAGGUCUUCGGAUUGUAAAGUUCUUUAAUUGGGGACGAAAAAAAUGACGGUACCAUAGGAGGAAGCCCCGGCUAACUACGUGCCAGCAGCCGCGGUAAUACGUAGGGGGCGAGCGUUGUCCGGAAUUACUGGGCGUAAAGAGAGCGUAGGCGGCACUACAAGUCUCAUGUGAAAUACCCGGGCUUAACUUGGGGGUUGCAUGGGAAACUGUAGAGCUUGAGUACAGGAGAGGCAAGCGGAAUUCCUAGUGUAGCGGUGAAAUGCAUAGAUAUUAGGAGGAACACCAGUGGCGAAGGCGGCUUGCUGGACUGAAACUGACGCUGAGGCUCGAAAGCGUGGGGAGCAAACAGGAUUAGAUACCCCGGUA
rnacentral:rRNA from 1 species